UGUAGUGUAAUGUAGUGUUGUGCAGUGUAUCGUCUGUCUGCUCUCACUGCUCACUUUAUGUGGUCAGGACCACUUCCUGUUCAGCUCUACACAGCUGUUCCUGUUCAGCUCUACACAGCUGAAAUGACAAUAAAAGCUUCUGGACUGAAUAGAGUGCUGUCGCUGACGUGUCUUAACUGCCUUAAUGAUCAAUGUAUUAAUAUUAACUGUCCAGACCAGUGUGCCAGUCUAACUCUGUUUGUAAUGAACAAUGGCAACAAUAUAAGCGCUGUUUUAAAGACUUGUGCAGCACCGGGCAUUUGUUCACCUAUGACUGCAAACCUGGGAGAAACAAUAACAACCACCAAUGCCAUGUGCUGCAACACUACAUUAUGCAACAAUGAAACACUGCCAGUUCUUCCUGUUCCUUUGCCCAACGGGAGGAUCUGUUACACCUGUAUCAAAAACGACUGCACACAAUCAGUGGAUUGUAGAGGAAAUGAAGACAGGUGUGUUACUGGGACAGGUACAAUAUUAGGCACUACAGCGACCGUGAAAGGAUGUGUAGGUAAAUCUUCCUGCAAUGGUACUCAAUCAGUAAUCUCAGUGGGAAAUAGCACUGUAAGUGUUCAGUGUUGUACAGGAAACCUGUGUAACAGUGCUGAGAUCUUCACCCUGAGCUUCCUCCUCAUGAUCAUCUCUCUACACUCCUCCAUGUUCUUCUCCUGAACACUGAUCGAGUAGUUCACUAAAAGCAGUAUGCAGAAGACAGAUGUUUUUUUUAUUUUUUAUUUAAUUUAAGCUUCACCUCUGCUGUAUUGCAUCAUCACAUAUAACGUAUUCGCCAUAUGUACAUUACUGAGCUUUUCAUGGUCUGUAGUUUGUAUAUCUCUUUAUUUCGUUUUUCCCACUUGUGUUAUACAGAAUCUGCAAGAAAUAAACUGAUGCAUAUUCAUUUUGCCUUUCUUUCUUUUUUUUUUAACUGUGAUUACUGAACUACACUUCGAUUACUUCUAUCUUGACCAAAUGCUGUUAUUUCCUGUUAAAUUUUUCAAACAAAGGAGGCAUGAGUUACUGGUUUUGAUUAACAUUUGAUCGAAUAUUUGUACAAGGAGCAGUAAUGUUUUACUUCCUUCAUUGUUCUUAAAUACAUCAAACAUCAGUAACUGGUUAUGAGUUUAUAAUACAGAACAAUAAUAUGGCAUAUUGUUUUAUUAGAAUUCUUUAUGUAAGCAUUGUUAUUCUGUACCAAAUUAUUAUUUCUUAUAUUUUAAGUUAUUAUUUUUUUGUUAUUUUCACAUACAAUCACACUACAUUCUCUGGGUCAAACUUGAUUAUUGUAUCUUGUUCAUAAGAGAUUUUACUUUUACUAUAUGUAAAGAUUAACCCGAAUUUCAAAUCAGUUCAUUUUAAUAUGUAAAUGUUGAAAAACGAAAGCAGCCGAUGUACUUAAGGCAGAUUACUCCAAAUAGUGUUCAAAAACCUGGCAGGUUUAACCUAUUAACUUUCUACAGAACGUAGGAUACUAAUAUAAAAUAUAAUAGUAACCAAAUAUAAAACAUUCUGUACAACAAAGAAAUAAGAAAACAAACAACUGAACCACUAGAUGCUGCUGAUGAACUGAUCAGGUUUUGUGUACAGACUGCUGAACGGCCGAUCGGCUGAUUGUAGGUGAUGUAGAUUCUAGAAUUAGAAAUGUAGAUUCUAUACACCAAAUUUCAGCUUUAUCAUCUUACAGUUAACUAGAAACAGAUGCAUAAAUGAAAUCAACUCCUCAUACAACAGUCAUUAAUUCGGAUGUAACGACCUUCAAACUGAAGCUGAGAGCCUUCAACUUUAACUACAAUUCUAUUAUUCUAAAUAGUACUCAGCUAAAAUAAGAAUUUUAUCAAUGUACAUCUGAGGUCUGAAUUUAACUUCUCAGUUCUGAUUUUCUUUAACUUUUAUAUGUCUGCAAAGGCAACUCUAAGUUUUCAGUAGACUGAAGACAUUUGUUUUUUGAGAUUGUGUGGCAGCAUUUUAAAUAAAUGCAAAUCAACAUGUUAAUCAUUGUGGAACAUUUCUCUAAUAAUCCUGACUAGUGAGUUCCUGGAAACACAAAGUUAACUACCUCCAUUUAUAAUGAAAUGAAACUUAUGGUAAAGGUUGUGGGUUGUGAAAUAAACUUCCCCUUCUAUAUAACUGAGCAUAACCAUAAAAACCAGGCUUUGUUUCAGAACGUUGCUCUUUAACUUCAUCUGCUUCUUCUUCAGAUGCUUUUCUCCAAAGCCAUGUCACUGAAUUGUUAUCAGUGUUUGCUGUCACUAACUGGCGCGUGUACCAAUGAACAGAUAACCUGUUCAGAUCAGUGUGCCUCUUCAACUAUGUCUGUUUACACGGGUAAGUGUGUGUGUGUGUGUGUGUGUGUGUGUGUGUGUGUGUGUGUGUGUGUGUGUGUGUGUGUGUGUGUGUAUGAGCAGCAUGGUGUCUCCGAGCACGACGCUGUUUGAGAGUCUGAGUCGCAGGCACGGUGUGAGGGUGGUGUGCUAGUGAUGGAAGAUGUGGUGGGACAUGAGAACAUUGUCUCUGCCUCCAGCAUGAACAGUGCAAUUGUUGUAUUCUUGAAUCAGGUGAAUAAAGUAAAUAAAC